rnacentral:lncRNA from 1 species
AACCUGCUUCCACUGCAUCUCCUUGAAGGCGGAUGUCAUCCUGAAACCUCACACUGCUGUCGGAAGAAGUGUGGUGGGUGCGGCUGCUCCGCUCUCAAACAAGCAGACCGGCCAGGUUGGCGGAAAGAAGGAAAGUUUGCUUUAUUUCAGGCACCAGCGGGCCGGGCCGGGUGGGGGGAGGAUGCUGGACAGCUGUCCAAAGGCGGACUGACCGCUCCCCCACCCACACCCUUCCUGGCAACCAGUGGGGCAAGAGCUUUUCCAGACAGAAGUGCGAGGGGGCUGCUAUAUGCUGAAACAGCACAGUCAGCUGCUAUAUUUUCUAAAGAAAAUACAGGAAAAGAACAUUACUUAAGACUUUUUUUCUCCCUAGCCAAGGUUAAAACUAUCUACUUUGUAUUGAGUUCUUUGUACAUUGACUGUCCCUCCCAACAUGUAACAGUUUUUCAACAUAAAUUCCAUUUCCAAGGAAAACAGUGGCCGCUUACAGCCUGUGUUCAGUCUGACCAUCAUGUAAUUAACAUCUCAACUUGUUGCUUCUCUAUCUAUAACGUGGCUCUCUGGAUAUUGCUCAGAAUAUUAUCUAUAGCCCUUCAGAAACAGCUAUUUUGCAGUUACCAAAAGCCCCGCCAGGCUGAACAAGUGAACUGCUUCCCACAGCAGGUAGACCCCAGACUGGCUGGAACAAGAAGGCUGAUGCUGCGGCCUCCCCACUGCCUCAACACCAGCCAUGGCUCCAUAAACACUAAAGACUCCACAUACCCACUCCAGCCCACACCAGCUUGAAUUUUGCUGCUCCACGGAAUUAUUUUGAGGAAGGAGAAAGACAACGUCUGGGACAUCUAGACAUCUCGACCAGCAUCUGGGUGAGUCCCCCGACAUGUAUCCGAGGCUCCUUCAACAUGUCCAUCUGAGGAACAUUUGUUUCCAUCUGGGAAACAUUGAGUGCCUGUCUGAUUAGUUUUCAUGUUGGAAAUCCCACCUGUGAGGUCUAAGGACUCAGGUCAUGGGCUUGGCAGGAACUGGAAACACCCACUCUGAGUUUUAUGCUUUCUAGUGUCCUUCCCCUCAUUAAGGUUUCCAUCAGCUAAUGAGGUCUGGUUUGUAUUUGGCUCAUGGGCGUCUGAUCAAAAAUGGGAAAUGCUCCUUUGAUUUCCUCUGAUAACCUCGUAGGACACAUUUUGGAUGACUGGUUAACCUACACGUUUAAACCUAUCAAUAAGGACAAAAUAGUUUAACACUAUGUAGUCACAAUAUUCUUUAGACUUUGGAGAAAAUGGUUGAGAUGAAACUCUUUUGAAAUUUCAGAACUGGUUCUUUUUACAUGUGCAGUUGGAGAGAGUGUCUUGAUAACACACUUGAGUUUUCUAGAACACUCACCCUGAGAGAACAAAGAUAUUCUUAGGAGAAGUUGAUGUUAAGCCUCACCAUGUCCCUAAGUAUUAAUACAAACACAGCCCACAUUGCCUGCGUUUCAGCCUUGGCUUAUUUAGAAGAACUGAAACCGAGCCAGGAGACGGGUGGAAGGAGGAAAGAAAAAGAAGCCUUUGACCUCAAGUGUGAACAUUUGACGGUUCUCUCUGUUUUUCAUCAACUGACAAGUUUAAUUGCAGUGCCUGAUUCAUGAAAUGUAAAAUGAUGAAACAGAUCUCUGCUCGUGUGUGUGUCUCCGUGUGUGUCUUUGUCUUUAGAAAAUAUUCCUGAGGUUAACUUCUAAAUGAGCUCUAUUCCAUUGACUCAAAGUACAAUAAGCGCUUACAAAUGGAGUAUUUCUGAGUCACAAAAUAUGGGAAAUGUUCAGUAUUAAUUCUCUGUCUGGUACUGACAUCAGUUUAGCUUGUUAACUGUGUCUGAUUACUGGAGACACGAGACACCAACAUUCUUUCACUGUACUUAGUUCUACUGCUAGUCACUAGGUCAUACCUGGGGCAAAAGUUGUCAGCAAGAAAGUUCACUCACACUGAUAAUCUCAUAAAUAACUGAACUAAAUGGUAUAGAAGCUUUUAGGUAAGCUCUUUAAAAGAAUUAUUCUUUGUUUUUUGGACGCGCAGGAAUUUAAACCAUUAGUUUUGUUAAAUUCAAUGAUGAGAAUUCAUUGAAAAUGUAAAUCAAUUUUAGAUAAAACAGUGAAACACUGAGUUCUGAACAAGUCUAUGUUUACUUAUCUUUUCCUUUUAUGAAAAAACACUAAAUAUUUUUGAAUUUAUUAAGUACAUAUCUCGUAUGACAAAAGAAAAAUUGUGCCCUAAGAUAUGCAUGUCUUAUACGUUUUAAAAUAUACUGUUGAUAAAAAAAUUAAAUUGCCUAUUUCUUGAUUUUCAGUUUUAAGGGAUUUUGCUAAUGUGAUAUGAUUUAACAUCUACUAAAAAUAAAUGGGAAUUUCAGCCUCA